GCCCCGGUAGCUCAGUGGAUAGAGCAGUGGACUUCUAAUCCUCGUGUCGGGAGUUCGAUUCUCCCUCGGGGCA
rnacentral:tRNA from 1 species